AGGACGAACGCUGGCGGCGUGCUUAACACAUGCAAGUCGAGCGGUAAGGCCUUUCGGGGUACACGAGCGGCGAACGGGUGAGUAACACGUGGGUGAUCUGCCCUGCACUUCGGGAUAAGCCUGGGAAACUGGGUCUAAUACCGGAUAUGACCUCCUAUCGCAUGGUGGGUGGUGGAAAGAUUUAUCGGUGCAGGAUGGGCCCGCGGCCUAUCAGCUUGUUGGUGGGGUAAUGGCCUACCAAGGCGACGACGGGUAGCCGACCUGAGAGGGUGACCGGCCACACUGGGACUGAGACACGGCCCAGACUCCUACGGGAGGCAGCAGUGGGGAAUAUUGCACAAUGGGCGAAAGCCUGAUGCAGCGACGCCGCGUGAGGAUGACGGCCUUCGGGUUGUAAACCGUCUUUCAGCAGGACGAAGCGCAAGUGACGGUACCUGCAGAAGAAGCACCGGCUAACACGUAGCCAGCAGCCGC
rnacentral:rRNA from 1 species